AUGGGUGCUGGGCCCUUUGGAGCUCAGGUUCUCGGCAUGUUCUGUCUGCCUCUACUUGGCUCGCAGCGGCUGUCUGCGCAUCCGGCUCAGCCUGCCUGCUGGGUCUUGUGCAGAAGAAGGGAGAGGCAGUCAUCCUCUCGGGGCCCCCUGCCCCUCUGUUCUCCUCGCUCAGCAAAUGUGGAGCAAGGUCUUUUUCAAAUCCUGAAAGAUGAUGCUGUGAAAGUGCUACACUCAAUAUGCCAGCAAAUUUGGAAAACUCAGCAGUGGCCACAGGACUGGAAAAGGUCCGUUUUCAUUUCAAUUCCAAAGAAAGACAAUGCCAAAGAAUGCUCAAACUACCACACAAUUGCACUCAUCUCACAUGCUAGUAAAGUAAUGCUCAAAAUUCUCCAAGCCAGGCUUCAGCAAUACAUGAACCGUGAACUCCCUGAUGUUCAAGCUGGUUUUAGAAAAGGCAGAGGAACCAGAGAUCAAAUUGCCAACAUCUGCUGGAUCAUGGAAAAAGCAAGAGAGUUCCGGAAAAACAUCUAUUUCUGCUUUAUUGACUAUGCCAAAGCCUUUGACUGUGUGGAUCACAAUAAACUGUGGACAAUUCUGAAAGAGAUGGGAAUACCAGACCACCUGACCUGCCUCUUGAGAAAUCUGUAUGCAGGUCAGGAAGCAACAGUUAGAACUGGACAUGGAACAACAGACUGGUUCCAAAUAGGAAAAGGAGUACAUCAAGGCUGUAUAUUGUCACCCUGCUUCUUUAACUUAUAUGCAGAGUACAUCAUGAGAAACACUGGGCUGGAAGAAACACAAGCCGGAAUCAAGAUUGCCGAGAGAAAUCUCAACAACCUCAGAUAUGCAGAUGACACCACCCUUAUGGCAGAAAGUGAAGAGGAGCUAAAAAGCCUCUUGAUGAAAGUGAAAGAGGAGAGUGAAAAAGUUGGCUUAAAGCUCAACAUUCAGAAAACGAAGAUCAUGGCAUCUAGUCCCAUCACUUCAUGGGAAAUAGAUGGGGAAACAGUGGAAACAAUGUCAGACUUCAUUUUUUUGGGCUCCAAAAUCACUGCAGAUGGUGAUCGCAGCCAUGAAAUUAAAAGACGCUUACUCCUUGGAAGAAAAGUUAUGAGCAACCUAGAGAGUAUAUUCAAAAGCAGACACAUUACUUUGCCGACUAAGGUCCGUCUAGUCAAGGCUAUGGUUUUUCCUGUGGUCAUAUAUGGAUGUGAGAGUUGGACUGUGAAGAAGGCUGAGCGCCGAAGAAUUGAUGUGUUUGAACUGUGGUGUUGGAGAAGACUCUUGAGAGUCCCUUGGACUGCAAGGAGAUCCAACCAGUCCAUUCUGAAGGAGAUCAACCCUGGGAUUUCUUUGGAAGGAAUGAUGCUAAAGCUGAAGCUCCAGUACUUUGGCCACCUCAUGAGAAGAGUUGACUCAUUGGAAAAGAGUCUGAUGCUGGGAGGGAUUGGGGGCAGGAGGAGGAGGGGACGACCGAGGAUGAGAUGGCUGGAUGGCAUCACGGACUCGAUGGACGUGAAUCUGAGUGAACUUUGUGAGAUGGUGAUGAACAGGGAGGCCUGGCGUGCUGUGAUUCAUGGGGUCGCAAAGAGUCGGACACCACUGAGCGACUGA
rnacentral:lncRNA from 1 species